GCCCGCUUAGUACAGUGGUAGUACGCCGUCAGGGUCCGGCCCUGACGGAAACGAAGGUUCGAUUCCUUCAGCGGGCG
rnacentral:tRNA from 1 species